GUUCACUAUAGAGAAAAUUUUCAGAUACCUUAAAGGCCAUAUGAUACAUCACAAACCAUUGGGUGGCAUAAACACUCAGGCCAUACCUCAGAGAAUUUUAAGCAAUUUCCUAAAGUGAAAAAGGUAAACGACUGAACGAAAAAAGAUAAUUUAUAGCUAGAUAGCCAAGUAAUUUAUGCGAUCUAAUAUUAACAUUCACAUUUCUUAUAAAGUUG
rnacentral:misc_RNA from 1 species